rnacentral:piRNA from 1 species
UCUGUGCUUUCCCGGGUAGUACAUUUAUGGU